rnacentral:lncRNA from 1 species
GGAGACCAGCCUGGCCAACAUGGUGAAACCCCGUCUCUAUGAAAAAUACAAAAAUUAGCCAGGCAUGGUGAUGCAUGCCUGUAAUCCCAGCUACUCAGGAGGCUGAUGCAGGAGAAUUGCUCAAACCCAGGAGGCAGAGGUUGCAGUGAGCCGAGAUUACACCACUGCAUUCCAGACUGGGUGAGAGAGCAAGACUCUGUCUCAAAAAAAACAAAAACAAAAACAAAAAAACGCCAGGCACGGUGGCUCACGCCUGUAAUCCCAGCACUUUGGGAGGCCGAGGCGGGUGGAUCACGAGGUCAGGAGAUCGAGACCAUCCUGGCUAACA